ensembl:lncRNA
UAGUCAGGCGCAUGUCUUUAAGGUCUUGAUACAUCAAUACUUCGAAUGACCAAUAAGACCCGAAUAAUUAUUAUAUUAUUAUUAUUACAACUGCGUAUAUAUUUUUUAUAUAACCUGCGUCAUCUGACCAUGGGCCAGUCGACAUUUCAGCGCCGAUCUUUCAGACAUUUCCUUAAUUGCGCACUUGCAAUCAUUUUAGAAUGCAUACACAACAUCAUCUUAUAUUCAGAGACAUGGAGGAAUAAACCAAUCACAUUAAAACAUUAGAAAGUAAUAUAGUUGCCGAAUCCCAUCUGAAAACACCAUAUACUUCACUGAACCUGUUUGACGGUGGAUGGGUGGUCCCAGCUCCACACACACACACACACACACACACACACACACACACACACACACACACACACACACACACACACACACACACACACACACACACACACACACACACACACACACACACACACACACACACACUGAUUUCCCCCACAACAAAGCCAAAUCCACACGUGUUUACUUCCGUCGGGGCUUCAAUCUGCGCAACGCCACCAGGAAUGCGGAGAUCGGCCAAAACAGCGCGCUUAACUGCGACUGGGUUCGAGAAGGAUCCCCGAGCGCCAAGAGCUGCGCAGCUGCGCAGCUGCGCUCAGGCGUCGCGGAAACUCGCUCCGUCAUUAAACCUGCCGAAGGCGGCGUCACAUAUACGUGUGCCACCGCACCAGCGCGGCGCAGACGCGCUCCUUCAUUAAACCUGUCGACGGCGGCGUCACAUAGACGCGCACCAACGGACCUGCGGUACGUUUACGGGUUGAAGCCCCCCACCUCCCUGCCGCCAAACAACUGCGUAUCGACCAAAAAGCAAAAUUAACGCGGACAUUCUAAACACACUUUUUUAGCGAGGAAAGUAGUUCCCGUCCCGUUUGCGGCUGAAGGGGGUGACGCUGCGUACUCACCGACGACGUGUCCGUCCUCCCGAAGAGUGACGGGAUGCGUCGUCGGCCCGGCAGGUGCAACCGCGGCGCGAGGAGUCCCGCGUGAGGUGGAGGCGCCCGUCAGACAUGGCCAGACUCCGGCUGGUUCUCCCGCUCCCGGUCCAACUAGCCUGCUGGGUGACGCACGGAGGACUGCCUGGGUCUGGCCCUGCUCCUCUUGCUCCUCCUGCUCCUCGCGCUCCUCCUGCUCCUCCACUCCGUGGCUCUCUACUCCUUCUCCUCCUGCUCCCCCUCCUGCUCCUCCACUCCGUGUCUCUUUGCUCCUGCCUCCUCCUCGUUAUAUCACGUCCGUGUGACACGCGCGGGCCGCUG